rnacentral:rRNA from 1 species
GUGGGGAAUCUUGCGCAAUGGGCGAAAGCCUGACGCAGCCAUGCCGCGUGAAUGAUGAAGGUCUUAGGAUUGUAAAAUUCUUUCACCGGGGACGAUAAUGACGGUACCCGGAGAAGAAGCUCCGGCUAACUUCGUGCCAGCAGCCGCGGUAAUACGAAGGGGGCUAGCGUUGCUCGGAAUUACUGGGCGUAAAGGGCGCGUAGGCGGACAGCUUAGUCAGAGGUGAAAGCCCAGGGCUCAACCUUGGAAUUGCCUUUGAUACUGGCUGUCUUGAGUUUGGGAGAGGUGAGUGGAACUCCGAGUGUAGAGGUGAAAUUCGUAGAUAUUCGGAAGAACACCAGUGGCGAAGGCGACUCACUGGCCCAAUACUGACGCUGAGGCGCGAAAGCGUGGGGAGCAAACAGGAUUAGAACCCCAGUAGUCC